rnacentral:rRNA from 1 species
UGGUCAAGUUAUUAAGGGUGCAGGGCGGAUGCCUUGGCACUAGGAGCCGAUGAAGGACGUGAUAAGCUGCGAUAAGCUUCGGGGAGUUGCACGUAAACUUUGAUCCGAAGAUUUCCGAAUGAGGAAACUCACUUAGAGUAAUGUCUAAGUAUCAUUAAGUGAAUACAUAGCUUAAUGAGGGGAACUCAGGGAACUGAAACAUCUAAGUACCUGAAGGAAGAGAAAGAAAUUCGAUUCCGUAAGUAGCGGCGAGCGAACGCGGAUUAGCCCAAACCAAUAAAGUUUUCUUUAUUGGGGUUGCGGACAUAUCAUAACGAAGAGGUAUCGUAAUUGAAGAGGUUUGGAAAGACCCACCACAGAAGGUAAUAGUCCUGUAUGUUAAACGAGAAGACUUUAGAUAUGAUCCAGAGUACCACGGGACACGUGAAACCCUGUGGGAAGCAGGAGGGACCACCCUCCAAGGCUAAAUACUACCUAGUGACCGAUAGCGUAUAGUACCGUGAGGGAAAGGUGAAAAGAACCCCGGGAGGGGAGUGAAAUAGAACCUGAAACCCUGCACUUACAAGCUGUGGAAGCACAUUUCUUGUGUGACCGCGUACUUUUUGUAGAACGGGCCAACGAGUUACGUUAAGUAGCAAGGUUAAGCACUUAAGGUGCGGAGCCGUAGCGAAAGCGAGUUUUAACUGAGCGUUCAGUUACUUGACGUAGACCCGAAACCGGGCGACCUACCCAUGAGCAGGAUGAAGCGAAAGUAAAAUUUCGUGGAGGUCCGAACCCACGAGCGUUGAAAAGCUCGGGGAUGACUUGUGGGUAGCGGUGAAAUUCCAAUCGAGCCCGGAGAUAGCUGGUUCUCCCCGAAAUAGCUUUAGGGCUAGCCUCAAGGUGAGAGAUACGGAGGUAGAGCACUGAAUGUCCUAGGGGGUAUUGCACCUACCGAAGACUAUCAAACUCCGAAUGCCGUCAUCUUAUACUUGGGAGUCAGACUGUGGGUGAUAAGAUUCAUAGUCGAAAGGGCAACAGCCCAGAUCGUCAGCUAAGGUCCCUAAAUGUAAGUUAAGUGGUAAAGGAUGUGGGAUUGCACAGACAACCAGGAUGUUGGCUUAGAAGCAGCCACUCAUUCAAAGAGUGCGUAAUAGCUCACUGGUCGAGUGAUCCUGCGCCGAAGAUUUCCGGGGCUAAAACUUACUACCGAAGCUACGGCAUCAGUAAUGAUGGGUAGGGGAGCUUCCCAUACGGGUUGAAGCAUGACCGUAAGGACAUGUGGACAGUAUGGGAGUGAGAAUGUUGGCAUGAGUAGCGAGAUGUGGGUGAGAAUCCCACAGGCCGUAAACCCAAGGUUUCCAGGGGAAGGUUCGUCCGCCCUGGGUUAGUCGGGACCUAAGCUGAGGCCGAAAGGCGUAGGUGAUGGACAACAGGUUGAUAUUCCUGUACUACCGAUAACCGUUUGAGAGAAGGGAUGACACAGUAGGAUAAGCUAAGCACACUGUUGGUUAUGUGUGCCCAAGCAUUGAGGCAGUCAAAGUAGGCAAAUCCGCUUUGAUAAUGCUGGGAUGUGAUGGGGAGCGAAAUUUAGUAGCGAAGUAGCUGAUUUCACACUGUCAAGAAAAGUCUCUAUCGAGGUUAAAGGUACCCGUACCGCAAACCGACACAGGUGGGUGAGGAGAGUAUCCUAAGGCCAGCGAGAGAACUGUUGUUAAGGAACUCGGCAAAAUGACCCCGUAACUUAGGGAUAAGGGGUGCCACCAUCAGGUGGCCGCAGAGAAUAGGCCCAAGCGACUGUUUACCAAAAACAUAGGUUUCUGCUAAGUCGCAAGACGAUGUAUAGGAGCUGACGCCUGCCCGGUGCUGGAAGGUUAAGGGGAUCUGUUAGAGCAAUCGAAGCAGUGAACUUAAGCCCCAGUAAACGGCGGCCGUAACUAUAACGGUCCUAAGGUAGCGAAAUUCCUUGUCGGGUAAGUUCCGACCCGCACGAAAGGCGUAACGAUUUGGGCACUGUCUCAACAACAGACUCGGUGAAAUUGUAAUUCCGGUGAAGAUGCCGGAUACCUGCGACAGGACGGAAAGACCCCAUGGAGCUUUACUGUAGCUUGACAUUGGGUCUUGGUACUACAUGUACAGGAUAGGUGGGAGGCUUUGAAACCAGGACGCCAGUUUUGGCGGAGCCAUCCUUGGGAUACCACCCUUGUAGUACUGGGACUCUAACCAUAGGCCAUGAAUCUGGUCUUGGGACACUGUCAGGUGGGCAGUUUGACUGGGGCGGUCGCCUCCCAAAAGGUAACGGAGGCGCUCAAAGGUUCUCUCAGUACGGUCGGAAAUCGUACGUAGAGUGUAAAGGCAAAAGAGAGCUUGAUUGCAAGACAUACAGGUCGAGCAAGGAUGAAAAUCGGACUUAGUGAUCCGGUGGUUCUGCGUGGAAGGGCCAUCGCUCAACGGAUAAAAGCUACCCUGGGGAUAACAGGCUUAUCUCCCCCAAGAGUCCACAUCGACGGGGAGGUUUGGCACCUCGAUGUCGGCUCAUCACAUCCUGGGGCUGCAGUAGGUCCCAAGGGUUGGGCUGUUCGCCCAUUAAAGUGGUACGCGAGCUGGGUUCAGAACGUCGUGAGACAGUUCGGUCCCUAUCCGUCGCAGGCGUAGGAAAUUUGAGAAGACCUGUCCUUAGUACGAGAGGACCGGGAUGGACGUACCUCUGGUGUACCAGUUGUCCUGCCAAGGGCAUGGCUGGGUAGCUAUGUACGGAAUGGAUAAGCGCUGAAAGCAUCUAAGCGCGAAGCCAACUUCAAGAUAAGAUUUCCCACCGCAAGGGUAAGACCCCAGAAAGACUAUCUGGUUGAUAGGUCGAAGGUGUAAGUGCAGCAAUGUAUUUAGCUUAUCGAUACUAAUAGGUCGAGGACUUGACCAAU